rnacentral:rRNA from 1 species
AGAGUUUGAUCCUGGCUCAGAACGAACGCUGGCGGCGUGCCUAAGACAUGCAAGUCGUGCGAGAAAGUCGCCUUCGGGUGGCGAGUAGAGCGGCGCACGGGUGAGUAACGCGUGGGUAAUCUACCCAAGGGUUCGGGACAACUUCGGGAAACUGGAGCUAAUACCGAAUGAGACCACGAUGUCCUCGGAUAUCGCGGAAAAAGGUGGCCUCUUCUUGAAAGCUAUCGCCUUUGGAUGAGCCCGCGUCCCAUUAGCUUGUUGGUGGGGUAAUGGCCUACCAAGGCUCCGAUGGGUAGCUGGUCUGAGAGGAUGAUCAGCCACACUGGAACUGAGACACGGUCCAGACUCCUACGGGAGGCAGCAGUCGGGAAUUUUGGGCAAUGGGGGCAACCCUGACCCAGCAACGCCGCGUGAGGGAUGAAGGCCUUCGGGUCGUAAACCUCUGUCGGGAGGGAAGAAAGGGCCGUAGUCGAAUAGGCUACGGUUUUGACGGUACCUCCAAAGAAGACCGCUAACU